UUCCAUGGGUUGGUUUCUAUGGGUUGGUUUCGAUGGGUUGGUUUCGAUGGGUUGGUUUCCAUAGGAUGGUUUCCAUAGGUUGGUUUCCAUGGGUUGGUUUCCAUGGGUUGGUUUCCAUGGGUUGGUUUCCAUGGGUUGGUUUCCAUGGGUUGGUUUCUAUGGGUUGGUUUCCAUGGGUUGGUUUCCAUGGGUUGGUUUCCAUGGGUUGGUUUCCAUGGGUUGGUUUCUAUGGGUUGGUUUCCAUAGGAUGGUUUCCAUAGGAUGGUUUCCAUGGGUUGGUUUCCAUGGGUUGGUUUCUAUGGGUUGGUUUCCAUGGGUUGGUUUCCAUGGGUUGGUUUCCAUGGGUUGGUUUCUAUGGGUUGGUUUCCACGGGUUGGUUUCCACGGGUUGGUUUCCAUGGGUUGGUUUCUAUGGGUUGGUUUCCACGGGUUGGUUUCCACGGGUUGGUUUCCAUGGGUUGGUUUCCAUGGGUUGGUUUCCAUGGGUUGGUUUCCAUAGGUUGGUUUCCAUAGGAUGGUUUCCAUAUAUUAUUUCCAUAGGUUGGUUUCCAUAGGAUGCGAUGCUUUCCAUCAUCCCAACAGUUUGUUUGGUAUCAAUCAAGGCUCCUCCAAUUCUAAAUGCCUUUAUACCACUUAGUUGGAUGGGUUUGGUGCUAGAGGCCACACCACACGCAUACAACACUGUGCUUCAGUCAGCCUCAUUUUCUGCUCUUUUCUCUUCCUUGGCUGCAGAUCUGCAUCUCUCAGUGUUGGGCAGCACUGUGACCAGGCAGAUGGCUCUGGGGUUGUGCAAAACCUACUUACGUGGUUUUGCUUCCUGGAAAGGCUUUCCUUCUUCUUCCCAUGUGCCUCCAAGCCAGCAGUUUUUCUCCCUUUUUAUAGAAGUUCUGAUCACUUGCCCAGUUUUAUUUCCUCCACAGUUAUCUUUCAGUUCAUUCCCAGACGUGUUUUGCAGUCAGAGCUUCUGCUGUUGUCUUCCUUGAAAGCCCCCCAUCCCCAGCACUGCCUGACCUUUCCUUUUCCACUCGUGACUUUAUCUCCAUGUAACAACGACCUUUGUGGCUCACAAGAGUCAGCAUGAAGGGAACUGGCCUGACACAGAGUUUUUCACAGUAUUUUUCCAUCUGCACUGGUGGCAGCCACCGUGGGUUGUUCUCUCCUGCUGAUGGAUGAUGCGUGGCACUAAACAAAACCGAGGUCACUGCUGUCCUGCUAAUUAGUUCUUGCAUAUAAUAACCAUAGUAACGAAGAUAUUAAUAGGAACGAGUGUUUUGUCGUGUGGGUGCUGGUUGUGUGCAAUAGGAGGUGAUCAGUGGGUAAUUGCAAACGGGGUGUGAGGCAGAAGAUGUGCUGAUGGGAGGAUCUGUGUGGGGGGAGGGAUGGCUCCAAGGAGAGCAUUUUUAUCUGUGUGUGGUUGGAUGCAGCGUGGCAGCAGCUACAGGUGUGGACGUAGAUGUUUUAUUUAUGGGUACAGCCUUGCUUUAAGAUUGGCCAAACUCCUGCUUGCAGUCCGUGGGUUUGCAGCCUGUGGAUCUCCCAGCUGGGGAAUGGGGCAGGCCGUCAUGCAGGAGUGGCAUCAUUUCUCGUCCAUGUGCUCAGGCUGAUGGUGGAGCAACCAGAGGAAGCCUCCUGUGCCCACCUACAGCAUGCAGUGGGGGAAUCCCAAAGGCCAAGGGUUCCUGUAAGGAGCACGGUGCUUUUCGGCUGGGUCCCAAGGAGCUGCUGAGGGUUCGCUCAUCUGGGUGGCGUUUCUGCUUAGGAAAGAGCAAAGCCUUCAUUUUGCCAAGAAGCUGGGAUGGCACGGUUCACAACUGUGCGUCUGCUGAUUGCAAACUGCAAUGCCCACGUUAUCACAAAAAGGGGAGAGCGGACAGCAGGGAAAUCUCUGUAAACUGGCAUAAGAAGGAGCCUUGGCCCAGCAGGGCUGCCCUGGUUACAGCGGUUAGAAGCUCCUAGCUGAUACUUGCUGUCAACUGCACAUCAGUCACCUGAAGGCUUUCCAUGGGUGCAGGUGACUGGGAUGCUCUGUUGGCUGUCAGCUGCAGAUGCUGCCAGAAAGGAGGCUGUCACUCGUGGCAUGGGAGUGCCUGCAUUUGUGCUUGUGUACACAGCUGCAGAAUGGCCUUGUGAGUCUACAGGACAGCUCUGUCAAGGCUGGGAAAGGAUUUUCUGCGUUGACUUUUGUCAUGGUAAUGUGAGCAGGCUCAAAAGGAGUGCAGUCCUGUGAGUUCACUGGCUUAGUGCUGCAUGACUUCUUCCAGAGUUGGGGGGAAAAAAAAGCAGCUGUCCCACACGGUCUGUUUUCCUAAUAGUCACCGUUUUCAUUCAUUUUUCUCUAGGCCAGCAAUCCGUGCUGCCAAAAAUGCUGCUGCUUGUGAGUAUGAAUGCAGCAAGCCUGCCAACAAGCAGCUCAAAUCGUCUGCUCUCACAGCUCUGUCCUUCCCCUGGCAGUGACCAAAGCGGUUCUUUUCAGUUUGGCAUCUGUAAGCUUCCAAAUUCGCAGGCAUGCAUCAUCUCUGCUCCUUCUGUAUUCCCCAGCAACGUGCAUUGGAUGCACCAAAGUGUCUCACAGCUGAGGGUGCUUCCACCCGCAGCGCCUCUGCUCUCAUCUGCUCACAGGAUUUCUGCAGCCUUUCCCUGCACAUGAACACAGACGUUUGUUUCAGGCUGGGUCGUGUUUCACACCGCUCCCUCUUGCAGUGUCCGGUGUCGCAGCUUCGCCCUCCUUCCCCAGCACACCCAGGGCUAUUUUUAUUUUUGGCACACUGAGUGAAGCAGUUCUGUCGUGUUUUUCUUUCUGCAGCACCCACCCAAGCGCCCAGCCUGGGACGAGGAUGUCAGACAGCUGCAGCUCCCCUCGCGAGCACAGCGGUGCCCUGUGCUUUCCUCUCUGGGAUUGCUUUAUUCUCAAACCCGGUCCUGAGUGAGCGUGAUUACAGCAGCUUUCAGCAGAGCUGAAGGCAAAGCAGGUUGCCUCUGGAGGCGUUCAGCGUAACGCAGCGCCUGGGUUUGUGCAUCUGGACUCAGCACCGACCUCACAGCUCCCAGCGCAUCGCUGCGUCUCCUUGGCACCCAGCGCCACGUUUCUUUGUGCAGGGCUGGGAUGCCGUGUUGAUCUUGGCCUCCUGCCCGCGUUGUUUCAGCAGGAGGUCAAAGGGAGCGACGCGCUCGCAGCAAACGUGUCAGCUUCCCUGGGCUGCUGGCAUCAGCAGCACCUGCGGCUCAGGGAGGUGGCAGAUCACAGUGUCUGCCUGUGGUUCUGCAGCAGCAGGAGGCCACGCUGUGCAGGAGGGAUGGAGGCAGAUUCACAGUGCUGUGUCCUAACAGCAGCACCUCACCACCAUCUGUGUUAACGAAAUGCUGGGUUUAGAAGGGUACUUUUCUUGCAGGAAGCUCUGGGCUGGCAGACGGCUCAGGCAGCUUGGUAGCACAGCCCCAUGGCUGCACCCACUGCCAUCCCAGCAGCAGUGCUCUGCAUCCUCCUCCCCUCUGCUCCCUUCAGCAGUGCCUGCACUUUGUGCACGAUGCCCCGUGAGCCUUUCCCAGGGAAUGGGACCGCGGUGCAGGAGAGAGGAUGGAGACACGGGGCUGAGAGCCUUGUCCUGCUUGUGCUGACAAUAGGGCCUUUCUUCUGCUUUCUGGAGCGCUGUGCUGAAUGAGUAUUAGCACAGAGGAAUGUGGGCAGACCGGCCUGGUGCUUGGCGACCCUGCACAUAGCAGGGGCUUGAAAUGAGAUGAUCAUUGUGGUUCUUUUCAACCCAGGCCAUUUUGUGAUCCGAUGAAAUGAGCUCUGGCUGCAGCAGAGAGUCAGUGAGCUGGCAGGAAUCCUGGGGGCUGCAGUGCGAUGGGUCCGUGGUGCUUUGAAUGAUGGCACAGGUUUUCAGGUUUGCAGCAGGGCGUGCUGCUCUUGACCGGCCCUGCUGGAAUCGUUCCAUCUGUCGCACUUAAAUCUCAGGCCCAGAAGGGAAAUAGCAGAAUAUAUGUAAGAAUAAAACCCUGGGAGAAGAAACUGGAGCAGAGGGAGCCGGGUGAUGGAUGCCAAUGGGGAGGAUGGGAAUUUGGGCUGAGGGUUGGGUUGCAAUGGACCUGCUGACCAGAGAGCCUGCAAGGCUGCUGUUUAAAGAGACAGCAAUAAAAAUAAUUUAUGAACGGGCUUUUCCUUUCCUCUGUUCUCAUUACCUAGAAAAAUGUGGGUAGCAAAGCACUUCAUCACUGCUUUGACGCUCAUAGGGGGAGCAAAGUUGUUCUCCCUCUCUGUGGUUUGGCUUUGGUUUGGGUUUGUUUCUGUCCUAAGGCUGUUCUGCUGAAUUCUGCCUUUCCAGGGCUUUAGAUGGAAUUUUCAGUUCCUUGAAUUUGAUUUAAAAAGAAAAAAUAAAUAAAGUCCCUUCAAAUGUCAAAAUGUAAAGGGAUUUUCUGGGUGUGUGUUUUUUUUUUUUUGGAAAAACCAACUUGCCUUGGGCCUAAAAAUGUCAGCAUGUUUUCACAAAGAAGAAAGCAGAUUCUUUUCACUUAAUGCGCCCUUCUGAAAGGCUCUGCGGGUCUCAGCAGCUCCGCUUGGCCUCCGUUUUAGAG